rnacentral:rRNA from 1 species
UGGUGAGGUAGUGGCUCACCAAGGCGACGACGGGUAGCCGGCCUGAGAGGGCGACCGGCCACACUGGGACUGAGACACGGCCCAGACUCCUACGGGAGGCAGCAGUGGGGAAUAUUGCACAAUGGGCGAAAGCCUGAUGCAGCGACGCCGCGUGAGGGAUGACGGCCUUCGGGUUGUAAACCUCUUUCAGCAGGGAAGAAGCGAAAGUGACGGUACCUGCAGAAGAAGCGCCGGCUAACUACGUGCCAGCAGCCGCGGUAAUACGUAGGGCGCAAGCGUUGUCCGGAAUUAUUGGGCGUAAAGAGCUCGUAGGCGGUCUGUCGCGUCGGAUGUGAAAGCCCGGGGCUUAACCCCGGGUCUGCAUUCGAUACGGGCAGACUAGAGUGUGGUAGGGGAGAUCGGAAUUCCUGGUGUAGCGGUGAAAUGCGCAGAUAUCAGGAGGAACACCGGUGGCGAAGGCGGAUCUCU